rnacentral:misc_RNA from 1 species
CAUCCAUCGGACUGUGCUCGUUCCAGUCCGCAUUGGGCUCUCGCCUCUGCCUACGGGUGGAGGUGGAGCCUCAAAGUAGAUCGUGCGGAGUUUGCAACGACUCAACUCUUGGACCUAAACAGUCUGGGUUGGCCUGUCUGCAGGCCGCACGGAUCGGGGUGCCAGUGCUCUCUGUCCCGCCUGGUGUGCCCACUUUUUCCACUU